rnacentral:rRNA from 1 species
GACGAACGCUGGCGGCGUGCCUAAUACAUGCAAGUAGAACGCAGUUGGAACGGGUGAGUAACGCGUAGGUAACCUCCCCAUAGCGGGGAUAAAUAUUGGAAACGAUAGCUAAACCGAUUCUGUGAGAUGGAUCUGCGUUGUAUUAGCUAGUUGGUGAGGUAAAGGCUCACCACGGCGACGAUACAUAGCCGACCUGAGAGGGUGAUCGGCCACACUGGGACUGAGACACGGCCCAGACUCCUACGGGAGGCAGCAGUAGGGAAUAUUGGGCAAUGGACGAAAGUCUGACCGAGCAACGCCGCGUGAGUGAAGAAGGUUUUCGGAUCGUAAAACUCGUUUGUUAGAGAAGCGGUAUCUAACCAGAAAGCCACGGCUAACUACGUGCCAGCAGCCGCGGUAAUUC